ACCGUGGCGCCUAUGAGCAAGUAACCAAUGAAGAUCUUCUGAGGUGUGAUUAUUGCUAGUUGAAAAAUUUUACGAAUAUCGGUAAUAUUUCAUUACAUUUUUCCAUUUUUUCAAUUUAUUUUGUUUA
rnacentral:snRNA from 1 species